rnacentral:rRNA from 1 species
UACAGAGGGUGCGAGCGUUGUUCGGAAUUAUUGGGCGUAAAGGGCGCGUAGGCGGUGCGGUAAGUCACCUGUGAAAUCUCCUGGCUCAACUGGGAGCUUGCAGGCGAAACUGCCGUGCUGGAGUGUGGGAGAGGUGAGUGGAAUUCCCAGUGUAGAGGUGAAAUUCGUAGAUAUUGGGAAGAACACCGGUGGCGAAGGCGGCUCACUGGCUCAUAUCUGACGCUCAGGCGCGACAGCGUGGGGAUCAAACAGG